GGUCGUGUGGUGUAGUGGUUAUCAUGUUUCCUUUACAAUUGACGCAUUUGUGAACGGAAAAGGCCGCAGGUUCGAACCCUGCCACGAUCA
rfam:Fusarium oxysporum Fo5176 contig03151, whole genome shotgun sequence.